rnacentral:rRNA from 1 species
CCUACGGGUGGCAGCAGUGAGGAAUAUUGGUCAAUGGACGAGAGUCUGAACCAGCCAAGUAGCGUGAAGGAUGACUGCCCUAUGGGUUGUAAACUUCUUUUAUAAAGGAAUAAAACGAGGCACGUGUGCCUUUUUGCAUGUACUUUAUGAAUAAGGAUCGGCUAACUCCGUGCCAGCAGCCGCGGUAAUACGGAGGAUCCGAGCGUUAUCCGGAUUUAUUGGGUUUAAAGGGAGCGUAGAUGGGUUGUUAAGUCAGUUGUGAAAGUUUGCGGCUCAACCGUAAAAUUGCAAUUGAUACUGGCAGUCUUGAGUACAGUUGAGGUAGGCGGAAUUCGUGGUGUAGCGGUGAAAUGCUUAGAUAUCACGAAGAACCCCGAUUGCGAAGGCAGCUUACUAAACUGUGACUGACAUUGAUGCUCGAAAGCGCGGGUAUCGAACAGGAUUAGAUACCCGUGUAGUC